rnacentral:tRNA from 1 species
AGGGAUAGAGCUCAGCGGUACAGCGCCUGCCUAACAAGCACAAGUCCUGAGUUCGAUCCUUGGUAAUCCCA